rnacentral:lncRNA from 1 species
AGGUCCCACCUCUUAAUAUCGUUGCAUCGAAGAUUCAGUUUCAACAUGAAUUUUGGAGGCCACACAAACAUUCAGAUCACAGCACAUGGUAACACCUUUGGGUCUUUUUUCUCUUUCUAAUUAUGAUGAGAAGUUUGGAAGUUUUAAUCAAAGGAGUGAAAGGAUCUGGUUGACAUUUUAAAUGGCUCAUGCUAACAGCUGCAUGAAGACUAGCUGGUAAAAGGGCAAAGAGCAAAGCUAGGACUCGGUCCCAGAAAGUCUGCCAAGGGUGCCAGCUCCAACCACUGCAGGUACCGCCUCUUGACGAGCACGUUACAUCAUUUCUCUCUUUAACACGGAAAGCAAAAUGUGGGCCUGACUGUGGUGAGGGCAUGCUUUUCCAUUCUAAAUGGCAGCUAGCAUGCAUUACAUGUACAAUAUACAACAGGAAUACAAUACGCAGGAGAGAAAACCUUCCCUCCCCGUUUCCUCAGGCACCUGGCUGGUUCAGGCUCCAGUGGCUUGGUUUUGUCGCUGGUGUUGUUAGUUUCCCCCAGCAUCCCCAUUCAUUUUCCAGAAUCCUCUGUCCCUCAUUGUAGUUUUGUAUUUGCAGAUACAAUCUGGGAAACAAUUCAGAUGGGAAAAGAAAUCUUUUAAUGAGAAAGGACAGUAAAAUUAACAGAAAGCUGGUUAAACUUACAAUUUCCUCAAGUAUUGAGAAUAAACAUGAAUCCAUGAGAAUAAAAACUCAGUAUGGAUUUGUCCACAACGCUUAGGAGGAACAUGUUAGAAGUGCCACAUGCAGGCCAGGCGUGGUGGCUCACGCCUGUAAUCCCAGCACUUUGGGAGGCCGAGGCAGGAGGAUCACGAGGUCAGGAGAUCAAGAUCAUCCUGGCUAACACGGUGAAACCCCGUCUCUACUAAAAAAAAAAUACAAAAAAUUAGCCGGGUGUGGUGGCAUAAGCCUGUAGUCCCAGCUACUCGGGAGGCUGAGGCAGGAGAAUCGCUUGAACCUGGGAGGUGGAGCUUUCAGUGAGCCGAGACGCACCACUGCACUCCAGCCU